GAUGAACGCGGCGGCGUGCCUAACACAUGCAAGUCGAGCGAGGGUUUGCUCAGUAUUGAGUAUUCUAAAACUAGAAUGUUCAAUUUGAGCAAAACCAAGCGGCGGACGGGUGAGUAACGCGUGGGUAACCUGCCCUAUACACAUGGAUAACAUACUGAAAAGUUUACUAAUACAUGAUAAUAUAUAUUUGCGGCAUCGCAGAUAUAUCAAAGUGUUAGCGGUAUAGGAUGGACCCGCGUCUGAUUAGCUAGUUGGUGAGAUAACUGCCCACCAAGGCGACGAUCAGUAGCCGACCUGAGAGGGUGAUCGGCCACAUUGGAACUGAGACACGGUCCAAACUCCUACGGGAGGCAGCAGUGGGGAAUAUUGCACAAUGGGCGAAAGCCUGAUGCAGCAACGCCGCGUGAACG
rnacentral:rRNA from 1 species